UGAAUGCACCUGGUAGUUGCAGGAGCUCUGCCCUUGACUUGAGGAGAUUUAGACUCAAACUAGAUGGAGGAGAUCAUUAAAUGUAAUAAAUAAUAAUAAAGAAAUGUUCCGUAGUGACUGCAUCAUGUUUAUGUAUGACCUCGAUUGUCCUUGCGGUCCAUUUAUUUGCAAUUUGCAAGUUGCCUGGCUAAAGUCUUAGGCCUCUAUAAUAGUUAAUAUGAAAGUUCUUGACUUCUAGUCAUGCCUAUAGCAGCAACUCUUGUGACUCGUGCAAGCAACAACGAUGUAUCAUAAGUUCAUAAUCAUAUACUUGGGGCCUUAUUACAGGCUGAGAUGCGUUCGUGGAAUCUCUGUUUGGGUUUGCCGUCAGUGAGAAAUAUUUCGUCUGUCUCUUGCUUUGUAUUUUUCUAUCGGUAACUGAGGCCACCAUGUCAGAAUCUGUGCCAUUACUGCCAGCUACUUUUUUAAGAGUAGCUAUUUGUCUUUAGUUCCAUACUGAAGAGAUCUUGUAGGGGAAAUAAACGUUCUUUUUUAUUUCUCAAACUUAGAAAUCACAUGUUAUGCGAUGCCAGUUCUGUUGCAGAACCCUGUCAGGGUUUUUAUUUGAUUUAAAAAUAACACACUCGUUCGCAUCUUUUAUUUUUGGGGUCAAAUACAAGGAUUGUAGAAGGACUGACUUGUAACGAGCUUAUUAAUUUUUAGGAUUAACUUGUACAGUUAUUAAUUUUUGAAGAUUAAAACUAACUAGGCCUAUUAAGAUGUAUGUUUAUUCUUUCUAUUAGUUGCAAGAUUUGUGUUCAUACCAUCACCCUGUACUUAAUCAGGCUUUUUUUUGUGCUAAGCAUAUUUUGGUUACACCUUGUUGGUUAAACAGGAGCACAAGGGAAAGCACUCCUUGUAGUUUAAUUAGGGACUCGAAUGCCGUUAGCACCCCUGGUUCAACCACAAGGCAAAGGGCACCCAGCAUCACUAACCAGAUCAUUUGCGAACACAUACAGAGAAAUAUUCCUACAGCUUACGAGAUGGAUGAGUUCUUCGCAUUUGCAGAGAAGCAGCAGCAAAUUAUAUUUAUGGGCAAAUAUAACUUCGACAUUGUCAAUGAUGUACCUUUGCCAGGUCGAUAUGAAUGGGUGCAGGGACUUCAGUAGGCGGAGGUUGCUUAGUUGAGGUCUAGGGUACUCUGCUACUAUGUUGAUUUCAAGCUGAGCUAUUAACAUUUGUCGAUUUUACAACUAACAUACAAAACCAAUUAGAUUGCUAGAAGCACUUGCUCAACUAGAGGAGGGAUCGCAUCUGUUGAGAGGAGAAUUGUCUUAAAUUUCCAGUUUAGCCUUUCAAGUUUUUUCAGCUUUGCUUUGUAAUCUGCUGUGGUCUUUUCUCCUUUUUUCCCUCCCUUUACCUCCUUAUUGUCCAUAUGUAGGUAUGGUGAACCGUGAUUAAUAAUAAUGUUAGAGUAGCUAUUCUUCCACCUGUUAAA